AGAGUUUGAUCCUGGCUCAGGAUGAACGCUGGCGGCGUGCCUUAUACAUGCAAGUCGAACGCGGGCACUUGUGCCCGAGUGGCGAACGGGUGAGUAAUACAUAAGUAACCUGGCCUUUACAGGGGGAUAACUGCUGGAAACGGCAGCUAAGACCGCAUAGGUAGGGACACUGCAUGGUGACCGUAUUAAAAGUGCUGCAAGGCACUGGUAGAGGAUGGACUUAUGGCGCAUUAGCUGGUUGGUGAGGUAACGGCUCACCAAGGCGACGAUGCGUAGCCGACCUGGGAGGGUGACCGGCCACACUGGGACUGAGACACGGCCCAGACUCCUACGGGAGGCAGCAGUAGGGAAUUUUCGGCAAUGGGGGGAACCCUGACCGAGCAACGCCGCGUGAAGGAAGAAGGAAUUCGUUCUGUAAACUCCUGUUAUAAAGGAAGAAAGACGGAUGGAGGAAAUGACAUCCGAGUGACGGUACUUUAUGAGAAAGCCACGGCUAACUACGUGCCAGCAGCCGCGGUAAUACGUAGGUGGCAAGCGUUAUCCGGAAUUAUUGGGCGUAAAGAGGGAGCAGGCGGCAGCAAAGGUCUGUGGUGAAAGACUGAAGCUUAACUUCAGUAAGCCAUAGAAACCGGGCAGCUAGAGUGCAGGAGAGGAUCGUGGAAUUCCAUGUGUAGCGGUGAAAUGCGUAGAUAUAUGGAGGAACACCAGUGGCGAAGGCGACGAUCUGGCCUGCAACUGACGCUCAGUCCCGAAAGCGUGGGGAGCAAAUAGGAUUAGAUACCCUAGUAGUCCACGCCGUAAACGAUGAGUACUAAGUGUUGGAAGUCAAAUUUCAGUGCUGCAGUUAACGCAGUAAGUACUCCGCCUGAGUAGUACGUUCGCAAGAAUGAAACUCAAAGGAAUUGACGGGGGCCCGCACAAGCGGUGGAGCAUGUGGUUUAAUUCGAAGCAACGCGAAGAACCUUACCAGGUCUUGACAUACUCAUAAAGGAUCCAGAGAUGGAUAGAUAGUUAUAUGAGAUACAGGUGGUGCAUGGUUGUCGUCAGCUCGUGUCGUGAGAUGUUGGGUUAAGUCCCGCAACGAGCGCAACCCUUGUCGUUAGUUACCAUCAUUAAGUUGGGGACUCUAGCGAGACUGCCAGUGACAAGCUGGAGGAAGGCGGGGAUGACGUCAAAUCAUCAUGCCCCUUAUGACCUGGGCUACACACGUGCUACAAUGGAUGGUGCAGAGGGAAGCGAAGCCGCGAGGCGAAGCAAAACCCAUAAAACCAUUCUCAGUUCGGAUUGUAGUCUGCAACUCGACUACAUGAAGUUGGAAUCGCUAGUAAUCGCGAAUCAGCAUGUCGCGGUGAAUACGUUCUCGGGCCUUGCACUCACCGCCCGUCA
rnacentral:rRNA from 1 species